rnacentral:rRNA from 1 species
GAGGAAUAUUGGACAAUGGGUGAGAGCCUGAUCCAGCCAUCCCGCGUGCAGGAAGAAUGCCUUAUGGGUUGUAAACUGCUUUUAUACAGGAAUAAACCACUUUACGUGUAAGGUGUUGAAGGUACUGUAUGAAUAAGCAUCGGCUAACUCCGUGCCAGCAGCCGCGGUAAUACGGAGGAUGCAAGCGUUAUCCGGAUUUAUUGGGUUUAAAGGGUCCGUAGGCGGGCAUAUAAGUCAGAGGUGAAAUCCGACAGCUUAACUGUCGAACUGCCUUUGAAACUGUAUGUCUUGAGUGAGAUUGAAGCAGCUGGAAUGUGUAGUGUAGCGGUGAAAUGCAUAGAUAUUACACAGAACACCGAUAGCGAAGGCAGGUUGCUAAGUCUUUACUGACGCUGAUGGACGAAAGCGUGGGGAGCAAAC